rnacentral:rRNA from 1 species
GAUGAACGCUGGCGGCGUGCUUAACACAUGCAAGUCGAACGGUGAAGCAGGAGCUUGCUCUUGUGGAUCAGUGGCGAACGGGUGAGUAACACGUGAGCAACCUGCCCCUGACUCUGGGAUAAGCGCUGGAAACGGCGUCUAAUACUGGAUAUGUGAUGUGACCGCAUGGUCUGCAUCUGGAAAGAAUUUCGGUUGGGGAUGGGCUCGCGGCCUUUCAGCUUGUUGGUGAGGUAAUGGCUCACCAAGGCGUCGACGGGUAGCCGGCCGGAGAGGGUGACCGGCCACACUGGGACUGAGACACGGCCCAGACUCGUACGGGAGGCAGCAGUGGGGAAUAUUGCACAAUGGGCGGAAGCCUGAUGCAGCAACGCCGCGUGAGGGAUGACGGCCUUCGGGUUGUAAACCUCUUUUAGCAGGGAAGAAGCGAAAGUGACGGUACCUGCAGAAAAAACACCGGCUAACUACGUGCCAGCAGCCGCCGUAA